rnacentral:lncRNA from 1 species
UUUCACAAAGCAGCCUGAAACUAUGGUAUUUAUACGCACAAUAAACACAGGUCUUAUUAUCAUAAUUUUAUAACGUACUAGCAAGCAACGUAGGUAUUACAUAGCCAUCUCGGACUGCUGAGUGCUGACUACUGGACAGCUAAACUCAGCUUUUAUUUCCAUAACAUUAUUACAUAAUACAGCAGCAAGCAGCAGAGCUUUCACGUACAUAGCCUAAUAGGGAUACAGUCCGCUGACUCCCGGACAGAUGAUCAUUAUUACUUACCCAAGUGCAAGGUUAUCUAGGCACGACCACCAGUGUUGCUGCCAAUAUUGACGCUUCCACUGUUAUUGCUGUUGUUGCUCCCAGCUGUGUUGUUCCCUGUUGUGAUGUUCCCAGUUGUGUUGUUCCCAGUAUUGUUUGUGGGAGUUUGCUGUGGCUGAGGUGCAGGAUUGUUGGGAUUGCACGGGUUGUUUUGCCCCUGAGGGUGGUUGUCCGUCGCCCAGUUGAAAACCCCUCGAGCAACUCCAUGAAUGACUCCAUCCACACCGCUCAAGGGGUUGAUCGCGUCAACUACUUUGUGCGCCUUAUCGAACUUCUGCUCGAUAGUAUCUCUUAUAUAAUCCUUGCCCUCCUUGCUCCCCAUGGUCUCGAGUGCUUGCUGGUCUCGAGUGCUU